rfam:Sulfurovum sp. AS07-7 Sequence0000000148, whole genome shotgun sequence.
GGGGGUGAUAUGGCUUCGACUGGAGUAGUUGGGGUUAUGUGCAUGUCGGACUGGGCAUUUCCGUUACGCGGCCUAACUUGCUUAAAUGCAAACAAUACAAAUUAUCGUCCAGCUUACGCAGUAGCGUAAGUAUAACUUAACUUUUGGACUGCCUUGCCCUAGAGCGUUAUCUGACGGGGAUUUUUAGGUAUCACAUUUUGAUAACUAUAUCUGUAUAUUGUCUAGUGUAUAGAUGAACCUUUAGACUAGUUUUGGGAAGUUUUGUGGUGUUGUGCAAACCAAAAUGAAAUUAAACAAUAUCAACUAAGCAUGUAGAGUCAUAGCUUUGUCUAUUUUAGGACACGGGUUCAAUUCCCGUCACCUCCACCA